rnacentral:lncRNA from 1 species
UCCCAUCAGCAUACCAGGUAAUUGUGCCCGCCAGGUGGAUGGGAAAAAUCCACCUAGUACUUUUUACAGCUUAGCAACACAUGCAUGAACACACCUCGGCUAUUUCACUGGGUACCUGCACCUCCCACCAGCAUAGGUACCGAGUAAGGCUACCCACCCAGGCUUAGUCAAAUGGUAAAAAAACCAUCUAGUGUUUUAGAACUGUGCAAAAGAAAAAAGAGUACGGAAUUGGUUACCUUUUUGCGACCGGCAGCAAGCAGAUCGGUUCGGCUCUUAUUCUUGUCCAUCCGAUCCGAUCCGAUACAGCUGCAAUUCUUUUAAUCAAUGCUUUUUCAAAACCAUUACCUUCAACAAUCGAACUGUAAGAAAAUCAAAUUUCAGAUAAACUUUCAAAAUAACCCUAAUUUGAAAGACUCAAAUACAGGAAAUCAAAUGAAAUUAAAUUAAAUGAACAAUUCAUAUACCUUUCGAGUUCUGUAAUUGAAUCGCUAAAAAAGAAGAAUCUGUACUGAAUUUCAAUUCUAUUCUAUUCUAUUCUGAAUACAUAAAUAUAUUUCUUCUGUUUUUCUUUCCCUUCACUGUUGGGCUAUGAAUU